GUUUGAGAAUGCUUAACCUUAAAAUCUUUAGAUUUUAAUACAAUGUAGGUGCCCACUAUAUACUGCUUUGGGAUGAUUUUGGCAAUCAUUGGAACUGCUAUGUUGCCAUGGAUACUACACCAAAAAUUUCAAAAAUAUGAAAAUGCUCCAAAUUUUUUGAAAUUCUAGCAUAACGAUGAGCAACUUUGGUAGAUGUGGAAUUUGGCGUUGGAAUUUCCAAAAUGUCUGCCGUUUCCAUGGAAACAAUGCAAAAAGGUCAAAAUGCUCCAAAAACUUCAGGGUUUGGUGAAUAACUUUGGUAUGCUUGAACUUAAAAUCAUCAAAUUUUUAUACAAUAUAGUUGUCCACUAUAUACAGGUUUUGAAUGAUUAUGACAAUCAUUGGAACUACUCUGUUACCAUGGAUACAGGAUCAAAUAUUUCAAAAAUUUCAAAAUGCUCAAAAUUGAUGAAACUUAAUAUUAUUGUUGACUGCCAAGUCUGGAUGAGACUUUUGACUUUGGAAUUUCCAAAAUGGCCACCGUUGCCAUGGAAACUGCAAAAAAGUCAAAAUUCUCAAAAUGCUUUGAACUUAAUAAAACUUGAUAUUAUUGUUAACUGACAAGUAAUAAUGAGGCUUUUGACUUUGAAAUUUUCAAAAUGGCUGCCGUUGCCAUGGAAACGGCAGAAAUGUGAAAUACUUUAAAAUGCUCAAAAUAUACUGAAAAUUUACAGAAAGAUGAAUAGCCAUGCAUAUUUGUGCAUUUACUGUUAAACAAGUUUGAAAUGGCUGCCGCUUAGUGGCAAUAGGGGGAAGGGUGACAUCCGCUAUUGCUUGCAAUGGCAAUUCUAGUU
rnacentral:lncRNA from 1 species